rnacentral:rRNA from 1 species
CCCUUAGAUGUUCUGGGCCGCACGCGCGCUACACUGAUGCAUUAAACGAGCCUAUCCUUGACCGACAGGUCCGGGUAAUCUUUGAAUCUGCAUCGUGACGGGGAUAGAUUAUUGCAAUUAUUAAUCUUCAACGAGGAAUGCCUAGUAGGCGCAAGUCAUCAGCUUGCGUCGAUUACGUCCCUGCCCUUUGUACACACCGCCCGUCGCUCCUACCGAUUGGGUGUGCUGGUGAAAUGUUCGGAUCGGCCGUUUGUCGCGGUUUCCGCGUCAUGUGGCUGAGAAGUUCAUUAAACCCUCCCACCUAGAGGAAGGAGAAGUCGUAACA